UACGUAGGGUGCAAGCGUUGUCCGGAAUUAUUGGGCGUAAAGAGCUCGUAGGCGGUUCGUCGCGUCGGCUGUGAAAUCCCGAGGCUCAACCUCGGGUCUGCAGUCGAUACGGGCGAACUGGAGUUCGGCAGGGGAGACUGGAAUUCCUGGUGUAGCGGUGAAAUGCGCAGAUAUCAGGAGGAACACCGGUGGCGAAGGCGGGUCUCUGGGCCGAUACUGACGCUGAGAAGCGAAAGCAUGGGGAGCGAACAGG
rnacentral:rRNA from 1 species